CGAUACCNAUGGGCUUGCUCAUUGGGAAAGUGGCGCACGGGUGCGUAACGCGUAUGCAACCUACCUUAAUCAGGGGGAUAGCCCGAAGAAAUUCGGAUUAACACCGCAUAAAAACACAGGAUAGCAUUAUCCAAUGUUCAAAUAUUUAUAGGAUUAAGAUGGGCAUGCGUGUCAUUAGCUAGUUGGCGGGGUAACGGCCCACCAAGGCGACGAUGACUAGGGGAUCUGAGAGGAUGACCCCCCACACUGGUACUGAGACACGGACCAGACUCCUACGGGAGGCAGCAGUAAGGAAUAUUGGUCAAUGGAGGCAACUCUGAACCAGCCAUGCCGCGUGCAGGAAGACAGCCCUCUGGGUCGUAAACUGCUUUUAUUCGGGAAUAAACCACAUUACGUGUAAUGUGCUGAAUGUACCGAAGGAAUAAGGAUCGGCUAACUCCGUGCCAGCAGCCGCGGUAAUACGGAGGAUCCAAGCGUUAUCCGGAUUUAUUGGGUUUAAAGGGUGCGUAGGCGGCUUAUUAAGUCAGGGGUGAAAGACGGUGGCUCAACCAUCGCAGUGCCCUUGAUACUGAUGAGCUUGAAUACACUAGAGGUAGGCGGAAUGUGACAAGUAGCGGUGAAAUGCAUAGAUAUGUCACAGAACACCGAUUGCGAAGGCAGCUUACUAUGGUGUGAUUGACGCUGAGGCACGAAAGCGUGGGGAUCAAACAGGAUUAGAUACCCUGGUAGUCCACGCCCUAAACGAUGAAUACUCGCUGUUAGCGAUACACAGUUAGCGGCUAAGCGAAAGCGUUAAGUAUUCCACCUGGGGAGUACGCCCGCAAGGGUGAAACUCAAAGGAAUUGACGGGGGCCCGCACAAGCGGAGGAGCAUGUGGUUUAAUUCGAUGAUACGCGAGGAACCUUACCCGGGCUUGAAAGUUAGUGAAUCAUUUAGAGAUAGAUGAGUGAGCAAUCACACGAAACUAGGUGCUGCAUGGCUGUCGUCAGCUCGUGCCGUGAGGUGUUGGGUUAAGUCCCGCAACGAGCGCAACCCCUAUGUUUAGUUGCCAGCACGUUAAGGUGGGGACUCUAAACAGACUGCCUGUGCAAACAGAGAGGAAGGAGGGGACGACGUCAAGUCAUCAUGGCCCUUACGUCCGGGGCUACACACGUGCUACAAUGGAUGGNNCAGAGGGCANNNNGNNGGUAACAGUAUGCGAAUCUCACAAAGCCNNNNNCAGUUNGGANAGAGGUCCNCAACUNGACCU
rnacentral:rRNA from 1 species